GACGAACGCUGGCGGCGUGCUUAACACAUGCAAGUCGAACGGAAAGGCCCUGCUUUUGUGGGGUUCUCGAGUGGCGAACGGGUGAGUAACACGUGAGUAACCUGCCCUUGACUUUGGGAUAACUUCAGGAAACUGGGGCUAAUACCGGAUAGGAGCUCCUGCUGCAUGGUGGGGGUUGGAAAGUUUCGGCGGUAGGGGAUGGACGCGCGGCUUAUCAGCUUGUUGGUUGGGUAGUGGCUUACCAAGGCUUUGACGGGUAGCCGGCCUGAGAGGGUGAACGGCGUCAAUGGGACUGAGAUACGGCGCAGACGCCUACGGGAGGCAGCAGUGGGGAAUAUUGCACAGUGGGCGGAAGCCUGAUGCAGCAACGCCGGGUGCGGGAAGACGGCCUUCGGGUUGUGAACCGCUUUCGCCUGUGACGAAGCGUGAGUGACGGUAAUGGGUAAAGAAGCACCGGCUAACUACGUG
rnacentral:rRNA from 1 species